UAAAAUUGAGUCGCAUUAGUAGACCAACGUGGGACAAAACCUCAAAGCGAUUGGAUGCAAGAUCUACAUAUUCCAAUUUUGGACCAUACAAUUCGACAGGAAGCUUCCCCCUGAUCUGAUUAUCUGACAGGUCCAGGACGAUGAGUUCAGAAGACAACUGUGAAAACCAUUCCUCUGGUAUGGUGUCAGAAAUGCCAACAUUUUGUAGUUUGACUUGUGUCAGACGAUUUUGUACUUGAAGCCAAGUAGAAAAAAAGAGGCCCAACCAUACAGUCCUCGAGUUGGAUGUAAUCAAGUCGAAAAGGAGGAGCUCAGAGAGGAUCCACCUUGAAUACUAAGGAGCUUGGUGGGCUAAUACAAAGCAUCAAGCUUUCCAAGCUAGUGAGGUUCAACAAGUGAACUUCUGUUAUAAUGCCUUGCCAUGAAUUUGCAAUGAGAUUCAAAUCUCUUAGCUUCGAGAGUUGGCCAAAACUUUCAGGGAUGCUGCCAUUCAUCUGGUUCGAAUGCAGGUAUAGGACUUCUAAGGCGGACAAGUUUCCAAUGGUUGCUGGAACGGAAUCCCAAAGAGAGUUGUAGGCCAGGUCCAGAUGUUUCAUAUUCUUGAGAAGUCCAACUGAAUCAGGUAUGUUUCCCAUGAGGUCGUUGGAGUUAAGAUCAAGUUUCUAAGCUCACAGUAGAACACCCAGAAAAGGAGUUGAGAGAUUCAGAGAUAUCGCCACUGAAUGUGGCUGCUGCAAGUCUCAACUUCUUUAGCUUGCAAAGGUUUCCUAAAGAGAGAGGAAUUAGACCACUGAAGUUGUUCAGAGACAAAUGUAGAUCCUCCAGUGAUGCUAACUUGCCAAAGUCUAUAGUGAUGGAACAACUAAAAGAAUUGGUGUUAAUACCUAGUUUAGUGAGACUAGUCAGAUUCGAGAGCCAUGCAGGACUUGAAGAAUUGAAAGAGUUCUGGGAAAGAUCAAGAACUGAGAGUUAAGUGAAGUUGAGAAAUGACAAUGUGACCUGCCAUAUCUUGAAGGCCACAAGAAGAGAGAUGCAACUCCAGCAAAGAAGGAAUCAUGUUAACGGCAUGAAGCCACUGCGCAUUAACGCUGCUGAUUGUUAUAAGGCCGAGAUUGAGGUGCUUCAACGACGAGAGCCAGAGAGCCAAGAUGGAUUCUGGAUUUCCAUCCCCAAAUUCCCAGAAGAAGAGUAGGAAGCUGAGUAGAUGUCUAGGUAAUUCAAGCUCGAUAAGUUUCCAUGAAGCAUAUGAGAGGUUGAGAUACCUGAGAUUUUUCAACUCUCCCAAGAACACUGGGAUCUCCAGUCCUUCAAAGUCGUUGAGGCUUAAGUCCAAGUGUCUCAGGGAGCUCAAAUGAAGCAAAGAGGAAACUAACUGACCUCCCAAGCAUGAAAUUUUGUAGGUUUCCAAUUGUCGGUGGUCAUGGAAUAUGGUUGGAGGCUGAUUGGGAAUGGGUUCCGGAGAUGAAUCUUGACUACAGUUCCCGUUAGGUUGUCACACUCGAUGCCUUCCCAGCUGCAGCAAUCAUUGCUAACCCAAGAGGAUAGGCGGCCAGAACGAUCAAUGAGGCCCUUCUUGAAACCUAAAAGUGCAUCUUUUUGUGAUCUUAAGCAUCUGACUGUUAGUUGUCUAUUGCAGGAAGUGAAGUUGAUGAAAAAGGUAAGAGGAGGAGAAGGAGGAAGUUGAAGGCUGUUCUACAAUCCAUACGAAAUAAGUGUAAGAGGGAAUGAAGAAAAAGGUAUGGUUUCUUGAUAACAUAAUAGAAGCUUCUUUAUGUCAAUUUCCGUGCUUCCUUCUUAAUGAGAGGGUGAUACAGCGUGUUUGCAUUUAUUACGACUUUUUUUUCACGAGUACUGGGGUUGGAAUAGUCAAAUUUUUUCGACUAAUUUUUUUUCCAUUCCUUUUUAUUUUGUAAAAAGGAAGUUUCCACUAGUUAUCCGGGUAAAAUGAACAUAAAUUCAUAUUCGAUGCCUUUCUUCCCUCAGAGUGAAACAUUGCUGGGAAGGAACAUGAUUGAUCUUUCCUCGUAGAUAAUAAUUAAUUGAUUUCUAGUUGACAAUGGUGUGAAACAAGUAUACAUUGAGCUUCUAUACUUGCUUUCUAUAUAUUGGACGCGUUAGUAUUUUGUAAAGAAAGAACUUGAUCGCAUCAUAGGCCCCAGGUGCAAGAACUAUAAUAUUUUAAAACUAUGAAGCCAGCUAGCUGUUAAGAAAUUAAUUUUUUUUGGUCAGUGAGUUCGGAAUCAGUUGUUGUAUUAUCUUGUUUAUGGGCUAAGCAUUAAACUAACACGUGUAUAAUUUUUAAUAUUGUAAUGGCCAGGAAACCAGCAGUUUUCAACGAAAAAGUUAGGCAUACAACAGUAAUGAUAAUAUAUUAGCCCAGGAGAGGUCUUGCUGUUCCUGUCCUAUCUUAGCCAAGUUGUUCAACAUGUUGAACAACUUCCUGAGAUAAAAUGCAAAAUAAAAAGUAUGAGAUGACAACAUUCGUUUUUCUUUUCUCUGCACUUCACUUCAUCAGAGUCUUC
rnacentral:lncRNA from 1 species